CAGAAGGUGAAUAGAGCCUUAGGCUCCAAACACAAGCCUCCUCUCUCUCGCUUGCGCAAGGCCUCCACAGGGGCUGCCGUUUAUUGAACAAUUGCUACGUGCUGGUACGCUGGGCUGGACUCUUUCUGCCAGGCACGCAUCUGUUGAUCCUCAUCCCGGCCCCACAAAGUAGGUCUGAUCACUCUUCCCAAUCUACAGAUGAGAAAGUGGAGGCACAGGGAGGUGGAGGGGUUCGCAGCUUGUAGACGGCUCAACUGGGUUUUGAACCCUGUUUGCCUGACUUCAGCCCCCACACUGUUCCGUCCCCUGGUGAAUGAAUGCAGGGUGGGAUGGGGGUUUUUAGGCAACAGGACCCCCGGCUGCGGAACGCAGAGGACCUUCCCUUUCCGUGUCCGGCCUCAGUGGUUCAGCUGGGUGGCCCGGGGGUCACCGCUUUCCUCAGGAGGUGGGAAACAGGAGAGAGUGAGGCCCACCUGCCAGGGGAAGUCCAUCAGAGGACAGUAGUAGGGGCUCUGACAGUGGUCUCCCCAUCUGCCCAUCUGAGGCUCUGGGGGUCCCAGCAGGGCUGCCACCAGCUCCCUCAAGUCCUUUUGGGGAUUUCCCAGUGGCCUUUGCGGGACAGGGGAAGAGGCUGAACUUCCCCCCAGUUCUGUUGGCAUGAAGGACUCCAGUAGAGCCCCCGACACCCUGCUCAGGUGUCCCCCCAACCUCCCUCCCUGAUCCCUGCCCUCUCCGGAUGCUCUCCCGCCUUCGGAUAGCCUUCCCCACUGCCACAGCGACACUCACCUGGAAGUUGUGCACUUUGUUGACAACGCAGCCGUCCCAGCUCCUUGCUGCCAGCACUUCCCUGUGCCAGGCCCCAUGCCAGGUGCACAAUGACCCUCACCAGUGCCAGGGACUGUUCCUAUCCCCACUUCAUGGAUGAACAAGCGAAAAUACAGAAACAUGGAGGUGUCUUGUCCAGUGACACAGCGAGCACCUGCAGGGGAGCUUGUCCCGGCCAAGCCUGGAAUUCCACCCAGUCGCUCAAGCUGUACCUACCUUCUGGCCCCUGGGCUUUGCUGCCUGUGGGCAGGGCAGGCUCCCGCACUCCUGAACUUCAGGACAACGUCCUUCUUACCUUCAAACCCUUAGUACCCAGCCUGGCCCACAACAGGCCCUCCAUGAAUAAUUGUUUGAUGAAUGAAUGAAUGAAUGAAUGAAGCAUCCAUUUUCUCCAAGGUGCUAGUGGCUGACUUAUCCCGACCCCAGACCAUGCAGCUCCACCCCCCUCCUUCCCUCCUUCCCUGCGCAUCUCUCCACUGCCCACUGAUCUGGGUCCCACUGGAUGGCAGAGACCAGAAGCCCUGCCUCUCUUCUGCCCGACUCUCAGUGUGACCUUGGUCAGAGGAGCAACCUCUCUGGCCUCCUCUUUCUUCUAAGCAGGAGUCCCCGCCCAGUCCACAUGGCCCAAGAACUGACAUCCCCCAGAGCUGACACCCUUUAAAGGCUCCUAGGUUUCCCUGGGGCUGCCCCAGGAGGACGGGGGAUGGACGCAGAAAGCCUUGGGUGGCUGUACUUGGGGGUGGCUGUGGGGAGGGAGAGGGGACAGAUUUGGUGGCAGAGCCAACAGGACUUGUUCAAGACAGGGCAGGGGUGAGGGGUCAUAGAGGACCCCAGGUUUGGGGAGCUUCACUUUUCAGCACUUGGAGCCAAGGAAGAGAGGCGGUGCUGAGGGCAUGGGGUUGGCGAGAGGGGGCCAGUGGCCAGACCCCAGGACCUGGGGGCUCUCACCCACCCCCCAUUCUUCUGUGAGCAGUGAAGGCUGCGUGCUGUUUGCUCAGCUGUCUGAGGCCUCUGCGUGGGCAGCCGGACUGUCCAUCGGUCCAUCUGCGUUUGUCUCUCUCAGAGAGGAGGAAACCUGAGGAGCAAGAACCUGGCCCCAGGCAGAGUGGAGCCAGGCAGUGGGGUGACUCAUCCGGGAAGCGGAGUGUGCAGGCGGAGGCUCUCUCCUUGGCUCCCUGUUUUACCUUCACUCCCAGCCUUCGCACCUGCGGGGAGCCCUCUGCCAGAAGUGUCCCCAUGGCCUCCGCCUGGCUGACCCCUACUUGAGCUUUGGGGCUCAGCCCAGCACAAAGUGAGAAGCCAGCUGGAGGGACCGGAAGGGCACCACCGUGUACUCCGCACGCCCUGCUGGGAGCUGUGCCCUUAUCCCCCGUCAGCAGAGGACAAGACUGAGGCCCUGCAGGGGUGGGCCUUGCCCAAGGCCACUCAGUCACACCGCAGCUGGAAUGGGAACCUGGGACCUAGUCCAGGCCUCUGGCUGCACAUGCCACAGUCACCACCUGGCUGGCUUUGGACCCUUCACCUGGACUCUGUGGCCUCAGUUCUUUCUCUGUGAAAUGGACAUCUUAAUAAUAAUAUUUGUGAAAUCAGCCACGUGAAAGUACCUUCACGUUAGUGCGAUGCCAGGCAGUUUUCAGAAGAAGAGGUUCAGAGAGGGGCAGUGACAUGGCCAUGUCACAGCGCAUGGAGGCAUCGGGGUCAGCCUCUGAGGACAAGGCAACUGGUAUCUGAUACAGAAUCCCAGGUCUGUGAUCUCUGUUGCGGCUCCUGGCACUCAACUGCGCUGUCGCGGAUCCCGCCUGGUGCUGUGUGUGGCGCUGUGUGUAGCCGUGGUUCAUUUCUCCGGGUUGCCGAGUGGCCCAUCCAUCCGUGGAUACACCACAACCUGUUGAUCCGUUUCCCGUUGCCCUACAGACAUCGGGUUGUUUACAGUUUUCGCCUUUUACAAAUAAAGCUGC